rnacentral:rRNA from 1 species
AGUGAACGCUGGCGGUAGGCCUAACACAUGCAAGUCGAACGGCAGCACAGUAAGAGCUUGCUCUUACGGGUGGCGAGUGGCGGACGGGUGAGGAAUACAUCGGAAUCUACUUUUUCGUGGGGGAUAACGUAGGGAAACUUACGCUAAUACCGCAUACGACCUACGGGUGAAAGCAGGGGAUCUUCGGACCUUGCGCGAUUGAAUGAGCCGAUGUCGGAUUAGCUAGUUGGCGGGGUAAAGGCCCACCAAGGCGACGAUCCGUAGCUGGUCUGAGAGGAUGAGCAGCCACACUGGAACUGAGACACGGUCCAGACUCCUACGGGAGGCAGAAGUGGGGAAUAUUGGACAAUGGGCGCAAGCCUGAUCCAGCCAUACCGCGUGGGUGAAGAAGGCCUUCGGGUUGUAAAGCCCUUUUGUUGGGAAAGAAAAGCAGCAGGUUAAUACCCCGCUGUUCUGACGGUACCCAAAGAAUAAGCACCGGCUAACUUCGU